rnacentral:misc_RNA from 1 species
CAGAGAGGCAUAGAGUGGAACAGCAGUUGUUCGGUAGCGAAAUUAGGAAUAUUGUAGCGGUAGGUGGGCCCAAGAGGACGGGGGAAGUACCCGUAGAGAGAUGGGGCGAUGAAUUGAAACGAAUCGGGUUUUUACCCGUUUCAUUAUCGGGUACUCCAGCUGCUCAAGCAAGUUUAUUAUUAGGGAUGUUUCCGAGAGGGUAUACGUUGGUGGAAGAAAAUGGGUGUUUAAAAUUGGGAUGGAAGGAUUUAUCGUUGUUGACUGCAUCUGCAUGGCAACCUUGCGAUUAAGAUAGCCCAUUUUUUUGGUUGUUGUUUCAAUUUGUAAGUUUUGGAUGAUGUUACAAAUACCAUAACAAAUUGGACAUACUAAUAAGUGAAAGUGCUCUUUGUUCACUCUGGUCCUAAUUCUG